rnacentral:tRNA from 1 species
UGGUUCAGUGGUAGAAUGCUUGCCUUGCAUGCAUGAGGCAUGAGGUUCGAUUCCUCA